GUAUAAAAACUGAAGCCCCCAGAGCAAAGUAUCAGUUCUGCUUCUGUGACAGAUCAGCGUGUCUGAGCUGCACCAAACGUGAUCUCUGCUCAUUGAGUCUUCACUCCUCAUUUGAAAAAGGACACAUACCUCAACCACUGCAGGUUAACCAACCACUCAUCAGUAAAGCACAAAAUAAGAGAGUUUCCUACACUGAAGAUCUUCCUUAUUCAACCAACUCCUGCCAACAACUGUCGGUGUUUAAGGCAACCAAUCACUCUUUGGCUAACUGAAAAAAGAAGACAAGAAAUACAAUGAAGACUUCAAUUUUCCUGCUGGUGGUGCUGUCUGGCACUGUGCUCUGCAUCGCUGACAGACGUGUUUGGAGAUUCUGGAAGCAGCAUAUCAUCCGCGCAAUCCCACCAGGGGGAUGUGAUGAUCUGAUAGCAAACAGGAACAUCAGAGAUAAUAAUGGUAACUGUAAGCGCGAGAAUACCUUCAUCAUUGGUAACUUUAAUCAAGUUAGAAGAAUUUGUGAUCCAAGGAAUCGUAUCAAUGCGAAUAGAAAUCUUUAUGAAAGCCCCACAGACAGGGACAUUCUGUAUUGUGAUCUGUUGGGACAAACAACUGAUACACAUUGUACAUACAAACAGAUACAGAUUAAAAGGCGUAUUGUAAUUGCAUGUGAUAAAAGCAAUAAUUCCCUUAAGCCUGUACACUUUGAACGUUUCUCUUGAUUUGAGAGAUGCUGUGAGCUUUGCUGCGAUCUUUAAACAUCACUUCAUGAUGCUGGUUUAGAUGCUUUAUAAGACUUUGUUAAGUUUCUUAAACAGUGAUGGAAAUAAUAAAGAGGAAAUAUGAGAGAACUGAUUUUCAGUGAAUGUUGAAAAAAUACCACGAUCACUAAAAUUAUGGCAACAUUGUUACACUUUGCUUUCUUAGCUUGCAUGUUGUACAUUUAGACAGUUGUUUCUAAUUGGCUACAUCUUCUCUUGUUCUCACAAUUAUUGCUCGUCUUUUAUUAAAUUUAAAAAAAAAACUGUCGCUGCUUGUAAGGUUAGCAUUCUUGCAAGACUCAGUAAUGUGUCCAGAACUACAUAAAAAACAUAUAAAAAAAAAAAAAAUGCAUAAAUAAAUAUUAUGAACUUUGCCCCAUGUAAUUUCACGCUGAGUUUAUGUGUUUAUUAAGUGUUUAUGCAUAUUUGUUUAUAAAUGUAUUUAUUUGUAACAAAAGAAAUAACAAACAAACAACGCUAUAGUUAUAGAAAUCAGAAGUUAGUGGAUGAAUUCAUGAAGGUUUGCUUUUUCUUGUCCAAUAAAUUGUG